ensembl:lncRNA
GCCACCAGGCCCUAUCAGCUCCCAUCAGAUCCCACCAGGCCCUAUCAGAUCCCACCAGAUCCCACCAGGCCCCACCAGAUCCCACCAGGCCCUAUCAGAUCCCACCAGGCCCUAUCAGAUCCCACCAGAUCCCACCAGGUGCCAUCAGAUCCCAUCAGAUCCCACCAGAUCCCACCAGGCCCUGUCAACUCCCAUCAGAUCCCAUCAGAUCCCACCAGGCUUUAUCAGAUCCCACCAGAUCCCACCAGGCCCCACCAGAUCCCACCAGGCCCUAUCAGAUCCCACCAGAUCCCACCAGAUCCCACCAGACCCUAUUAGAUCCCACCAGAUCCCACCAGGCCCUAACAGAUCCCGCCAGCCCCUAUCAACUCCCAUCAGAUCCCACCAGAUACCAUUAGGUGCCACCAGGCUCUAUCAAUCAGCUCCCAUCAGAUCCCACCAGAUCCCAUCAGUUCCCAUCAGAUCCCACCAGGCCCAGUCAGAUCCCACCAGGGAUCCCAUCAGGAGUCACCAGCCCCUAUCAGCUCCCAUCAGAUCCCACCAGAUCCCAUUAGGUGCCACCAGGCUCUAUCAAUCAGCUCCCAUCAGAUCCCACCAGAUCCCACCAGGUGCCAUCAGAUCCCACUGGGUGCCACCAGGUCCCACCAGAUCCUAUCAGACCCCACCAGAUCCCACCAGAUCUCACCAGGCCCUAUCAGAACCCACCAGAUCCCACCAGGCCCUAUCAACUCCCAUUAGAUCCCACCAGGUGCCACCAGGCCCUAUCAGAUCCCACCCGAUCCCACCAGGCCCCAUCAGAUCCCACCAGGUUCCACCAGGUGCCAUCAGAUCCCACUAGAUCCCACCAGGCCCUAUCAGAUCCCAGCAGAUCCCACCAGGCCCCACCAGAUCCCACCAGGCCCCACCAGAUCCCCCCAGGCCCUAUCAGAUCCCACCAGAUCCCAUCAGGUGCCAUCAGAUCCCAUCAGGUGUCACCGGAUCCCAUCAUCAGAUCCCACCAGGCCCUAUCAGAUCCCACCGGAUCCCUUCAGAUCCCACCAGAUCCCAUUAGGUGCCACCAGGCCCUAUCAGCUCCCAUCAGAUCCCACCAGACCCUAUCAGAUCCCAUCAGAUCCCACCAGGCCCUAUCAGAUCCCACCGGAUCCCUUCAGAUCCCACCAGAUCCCAUUAGGUGCCACCAGGCCCUAUCAGCUCCCAUCAGAUCCCACCAGAUCCCAUCAGUUCCCAUCAGAUCCCACCAGGCCCAGUCAGAUCCCACCAGGGAUCCCAUCAGGUGUCACCAGCCCCUAUCAGCUCCCAUCAGAUCCCACCAGAUCCCAUCAGAUCCCACCAGAUCCCACCAGGCCCUAUCAACUCCCAUUAGAUCCCACCAGAUCCCAUCAGUUCCCAUCAGAUCCCACCAGGCCCAGUCAGAUCCCACCAGGGAUCCCAUCAGGUGUCACCAGCCCCUAUCAACUCCCAUCAGAUCCCACCAGAUCCCAUUAGGUGCCACCAGGCUCUAUCAAUCAGCUCCCAUCAGAUCCCACCAGAUCCCAUCAGUUCCCAUCAGAUCCCACCAGGCCCAGUCAGAUCCCACCAGGGAUCCCAUCAGGUGUCACCAGCCCCUAUCAACUCCCAUCAGAUCCCACCAGAUCCCAUUAGGUGCCACUAGGCCCUAUCAGAUCCCAUCAGAUCCCACCAGAUCCCAUCAGAUCCCACCAGAUCCCA